ensembl:lncRNA novel transcript, antisense to USP43
UGCAUCUAGCAAGAGAAAAUGUACAUAAAGAUUACCUCCCUCCCUGCUCUAGGUUUCUGCAGGUGAGAAGGUGUCGUGAUAGAAUAAUGAACAUUUCCUGUGGGGCUGGCACUGUGUUCUACAUAGAACUCAUUUAAUACAACAACCGUAUAACGAGGAAGCAAGCCAUGUGCAUCAAUUAUCAGGAACGCUUUA